AUCCAGCUGACGAGUCCCAAAUAGAACGAAGCGCGUGUACUGGAU
rfam:Schistosoma curassoni strain Dakar, Senegal genome assembly, scaffold: SCTD_contig0008544